ACCCUGUCCUCGCCCGCCACUCACCGGCGCCAGGGGAACGCAGGAGCGUGAGCCCCUUCGCGCCCCCAGCGCCGUCGGCGUCGCUGCCCCAGACACAGACACUGCCUCGAGAGGCCUCACAGAGGCGGGGGCAGAAGGCGGCGACCCAGAGCCGCCACAUCCCCCGCCUUGGGCGCCGUCACAGUCCCCAGACGCCCUGGACUCCUGCAGUCUACGAAGACGCGCGGGGGACGGCGUGGUUCCGAGAGAGGGCGCCAAAGGCGACGUGCCGGCCGCCAGCUCCAGGCCGAGCCCCGAGCGCCUGCAGGAACACGCCCCUUCACCCGGCGCGGGACGCAGAGCUGCGAGAGAAUCUUGUUCAGCGCGGACUCAACGCCAGGGCGCCGCCUAGAGGUUGGUCUCUGUCUCGGCCUCACCCGCCGGGAGACCACAGAGCUGCUUCCCCAGCCGCCCGCCGCCAGAAAUUGGAAAAAAAAAAAAAAAAAAAAAAAAAAUCCAGCUGGGGUCUAGGAACUCGGCUUCUGGCACCUCUGAAUUCUCCGAGACUGUCUCCUCCCUCCCCGCCUGUAAUGAACCCUGUGAAGGGAGACAGGCCAGGAAGUCCCAGAAAUAUUUAUUCUUGUGACUCUCACAAAAUGGAAAAGGGUCUCAAUUUUUGUUUCUUUAAGGAACUUGUGUUCUGCGUCUGUGUCUACACUGCCUCCUCUCACCAACCAAAUUGUCUAGCCCCCCUCCAGUUACGCUAGAACUCUGCUUUAUCUUCAAGGAAGAAAGGGAGUGGGGAGAAGUUACCUCUAAACCCUCCAGCAUGGCCAUCAAUUUUCUGAAUAAUUUGGAGGUCAACAUGCUUUUGGAAAAGUGUUUGGAAAACGUUUGGGGGUGAAAAGAAAUGUUGCCUAACUGGCCUUUACUCACGGAGUGACCAUCAUCUCAGCUAGUUAGUGUAUGAGCGGCACCAGCACCCCGGCCAUGGGUGUCUGUGCUGAGCCUCUGAAAGUUGACUUAUCCUUUGGGGAGCCCUCGGAAAGACACAGCUGGUAUCUAUGGGAAUGGCUUUGGGGUGUCCUUUGGCACCAUACAGAUAAUUUUGUUUUUUUA
rnacentral:lncRNA from 1 species